GUUCGAGUUCUUGAAGCGCCUCAAAUACAAUGAAGAUAUACUACUUCCUUACAACUUUCAAUAUCACCGGAUCUUGUGUAUCAUCAAAGUUGACGCCGGAACAGUUGAAAUACUGGACUCGCUACUCAAAGCAAAUAGUGAGUAUAACAUCUUGUUUGGGAUAGUCAACAGGGCUUAGGCAAGGUUCAUCAGCGUCACAGAAGGCGAAUGGAAACCA